rnacentral:rRNA from 1 species
CCGCGGUAUCCUAACCGUGCGAAGGUAGCAUAAUAAUUUGUCUUUUAAUUGGAGGAUAGAAUGAAUGAUUUAACGAGGGUACAGCUGUCUUAUGUGCAUUUAUUAGAAGUUAAUUUUUAGGUUAAAAAGCCUAAAUAAAAUUAAAGGACGAGAAGACCCUGUUAAGCUUAAAAGAAUUUAUUAAUUAUUAUUAUAGCAUAAAAUGUAAUAUUAACGAUGAAAUUUUAGUUGGGGCGACUUGGGAGCAAUUAAAACCUCCUUUAAUUUAAUAAAGUUUAAUGUGGGGUCCAAUGGAUUUUGAGGUAAAAACAAGUUACUACAGGGAUAACAGCGUAAUUUUAUUUGAGAGUUCUAAUCGAAAAUAAAGUUUGCGACCUCGAUGUUGGAUUAAGAAGUAGUAAAAGUUGCAGAAGCUUUUACAACUAGUCUGUUCGACUAAUAAUAUCUUACAUGAUCUGAGUUCAAACCGGA